CACGUAGGGCGCAAGCGUUGUCCGGAAUUAUUGGGCGUAAAGAGCUUGUAGGCGGUUUUGUCGCGUCUGCUGUGAAAUUUCGGGGCUCAACCCCGAACUUGCAGUGGGUACGGGCAGACUAGAGUGUGGUAGGGGAGACUGGAAUUCCUGGUGUAGCGGUGAAAUGCGCAGAUAUCAGGAGGAACACCGAUGGCGAAGGCAGGUCUCUGGGCCAUAACUGACGCUGAGAAGCGAAAGCAUGGGGAGCGAACAGG
rnacentral:rRNA from 1 species